UCCGAUUAGAAGGAAACCAAA
rnacentral:piRNA from 1 species